rnacentral:tRNA from 1 species
UGCGAAGGGUGGCGAAAUUGGUAGAUGCACCAGGUUUAGGUCCUGACGCGUUUGCCGGCAUAGGGGUUCGAGUUCCCCCUUCGCAA